CUUCAGUGAUGAUACGAUGACGAGACAGAACAGGACUCAAUCUGUUUCUGAGGGUUGCUGGUUCAGGUCCACGUUCUGUGGUCCUGCUCCAGCUCCUCAGAUCAGGGAGUCCUCUUCAUGUGAAGACAAAAGAGGCAUUUGUCUGAGAAGG
ensembl:snoRNA SNORD15 Small nucleolar RNA SNORD15